GCUCAACCGAGGAAGUGCUUCGAAAACUGGUAAACUUGAGUGCAGAAGAGGAAAGUGGAACUCCAUGUGUAGCGGUGGAAUGCGUAGAUAUAUGGAAGAACACCAGUGGCGAAGGCGGCUUUCUGGUCUGUAACUGACGCUGAGAUUCGAAAGCAUGGGUAGCAAACAGGAUUAGAUACCCUGGUAGUCCAUGCCGUAAACGAUGAGUGCUAAGUGUUGGAGGGUUUCCGCCCUUCAGUGCUGCAGCUAACGCAUUAAGCACUCCGCCUGGGGAGUACGAUCGCAAGAUUGAAACUCAAAGGAAUUGACGGGGGCCCGCACAAGCGGUGGAGCAUGUGGUUUAAUUCGAAGCAACGCGAAGAACCUUACCAGGUCUUGACAUACCAUGAAAAGCUAAGAGAUUAGUCUUUCCCUUCGGGGACAUGGAUACAGGUGGUGCAUGGUUGUCGUCAGCUCGUGUCGUGAGAUGUUGGGUUAAGUCCCGCAACGAGCGCAACCCUUAUUAUCAGUUGCCAGCAUUCAGUUGGGCACUCUGGUGAGACUGCCGGUGACAAACCGGAGGAAGGUGGGGACGACGUCAAAUCAUCAUGCCCCUUAUGACCUGCGCUACACACGUGCUACAAUGGUCGGUACAACG
rnacentral:rRNA from 1 species